ACGCAAUGAGAUCCGUGCAGCUCUGCCAGCUGAGCCGAAGCAGCGGAGCGGCUGCUGGAUGGAUGUUUGGCUGCUUUUUCCCUGCAGACUGCAGAAAUUAGCAGAACACUCACCUGCCCGCCUCGUCUCGGUGUUCUAACAGGACUCAGAGCACUGAACCAUCUGCUUCCAGGUGAUAAUAUCAUCAGGAGGUGAACACCAGGGACAACACCCAGAGAGAGAGAGAGAGUGAAGCAAACAGAGAGCAGGAUCUGCUCAAACCCAGACUCGUUCAUGAAUCUCUGCAACAAUCCUGGAUGUUUYGUAGCCGUCCAGAGCCGGAGCACAGGAUGACCUCCAAAUUAAAAACCCAACUCAUCACGUCAGACGGCCUGAAUUAUUCAUGAAGCCGGUCUGCUCGGUAUUACUGCCAGGAGGAAGGUGCAAUUACAUUUCCCUCAGGAGCUGCAGACACGAGAAGAAAAGGAGAAGCAGAAAGGAAAACACCGUCUGGUAAAAAAUAGAUGAAGUUUGUUGCCCCGUCUGGGGAAAAGAUUUGAUCGUUCUUCUGUAAUUAUUCAGUUGUUUUCUCAACGACAGCUCAGCCGAACGGAGCUCGGCUGGAUGAGAGGUUAAUUAGAGCCGAUUGAAUGUUUUUUAUUCUCAAACUUUCUGCUCCAAAUGUUUGGCUGCAGCUGUCAGGAACAAACUCUGUUUUAUUUGUUUGUCUAAUUAUUCAAUUUGAAAUAAAUUUAUUUUCCUCAGUA